CGGAAAGACCCCGUGAACCUUUACUAUAGCUUUACACUGAACGUUGAGUUCGUCUGUGUAGGAUAGGUGGGAGGCUGUGAAACCGUGACGCCAGUUGCGGUGGAGCCAUCCUUGAAAUACCACCCUGAUGUGCUUGACGUUCUAACCUGGGCCCGUAAUCCGGGUCGGGGACCGUGUAUGGUGGGUAGUUUGACUGGGGCGGUCUCCUCCCAAAGUGUAACGGAGGAGCUCGAAGGUACGCUCAGCGCGGUCGGACAUCGCGCACUGUGUGCAAAGGCAUAAGCGUGCUUGACUGCAAGAUCGACGGAUCAAGCAGGUAGGAAACUAGGAC
rnacentral:rRNA from 1 species